CCCCUAGAUGUUCUGGGCCGCACGCGCGCUACACUGAACAGUUCAACAAGUCUUAACCUUGGCCGAUAGGUCUGGGUAAUCUUUGAACGCUGUUCGUGAUUGGGAUAGACCUUUGCAAUUAUGGGUCUUCAACGAGGAAUUCCUAGUAAACGCAAGUCAUCAGCUUGCAUUGAUUACGUCCCUGCCCUUUGUACACACCGCCCGUCGCUCCUACCGAUUGAGCAAACCGGUGAAUAGUUUGGACCGUCGGCUUUCUUGGUUCGCCGGGUUAGCAGUACGGAAAAUUCAGUGAACCUUUUUGCUUAGAGGAAGGAGAAGUCGUAACA
rnacentral:rRNA from 1 species